rnacentral:rRNA from 1 species
AGUGAACGCUGGCGGUAGGCCUAACACAUGCGAGUCGAACGGCAGCACAGUAAGAGCUUGCUCUUACGGGUGGCGAGUGGCGGACGGGUGAGGAAUACAUCGGAAUCUACUUUUUCGUGGGGGAUAACGUAGGGAAACUUACGCUAAUACCGCAUACGACCUACGGGUGAAAGCAGGGGAUCUUCGGACCUUGCGCGAUUGAAUGAGCCGAUGUCGGAUUAGCUAGUUGGCGGGGUAAAGGCCCACCAAGGCGACGAUCCGUAGCUGGUCUGAGUGGAUGAUCAGCCACACUGGAACUGGGCCACGGUCCAGACUCCUACGGGAGGCAGCAGUGGGGAAUAUUGGACAAUGGGCGCAAGCCUGAUCCAGCCAUACCGCGUGGGUGAAGAAGGCCUUCGGGUUGUAAAGCCCUUUUGUUGGGAAAGAAAAGCAGCAGGUUAAUACCCCGCUGUUCUGACGGUACCCAAAGAAUAAGCACCGGCUAACUUCGUG